rnacentral:rRNA from 1 species
AGCGAACGCUAGCGGCGGGCCUAACACAUGCAAGUCGAGCGGGGAGCAAUCCCCAGCGGCGGACGGGUGAGUAACACGUAGGUUAUGUGCCCUUUGGUGGGGAAUAACCGUGGGAAACCAUGGCUAAUUCCGCAUAUCGAGCGAAAUCUUGAAAGCCUUCGGGCGCCAAAGGAGCAACCUGCGGCCCAUUAGCUUGUUGGUAGGGUAACGGCCUACCAAGGCGAUGAUGGGUAGCUGGUCUGAGAGGAUGAUCAGCCACACUGGAACUGAGACACGGUCCAGACUCCUACGGAGGCAGCAGUGGGGAAUAUUGCGCAAUGGGCGAAAGACCUGACGCAGCCACGCCGCGUGAGUGAUGAAGGCCUCGGUCGGUAAACGUACUAGUCGG